rnacentral:rRNA from 1 species
GAUGAACGCUGGCGGCGUGCCUAAUACAUGCAAGUCGAGCGAACGGACGAGAAGCUUGCUUCUCUGAUGUUAGCGGCGGACGGGUGAGUAACACGUGGAUAACCUACCUAUAAGACUGGGAUAACUUCGGGAAACCGGCGCUAAUACCGGAUAAUAUUUUGAACCGCAUGGUUCAAAAGUGAAAGACGGUCUUGCUGUCACUUAUAGAUGGAUCCGCGCUGCAUUAGCUAGUUGGUAAGGUAACGGCUUACCAAGGCAACGAUGCAUAGCCGACCUGAGAGGGUGAUCGGCCACACUGGAACUGAGACACGGUCCAGACUCCUACGGGAGGCAGCAGUAGGGAAUCGUCCGCGAUGGGCGAAAGCCUGACGGAGCAACGCCGCGUGAGUGAUGAAGGUCUGCGGAUCGUAAAACUCUGUUAUUAGGGAAGAACAUAUGUGUAAGUAACUGUGCACAUCUUGACGGUACCUAAUCAGAAAGCCACGGCUAACUACGUG